CUUAAAACAAGGCUUUCAAAAAAUCUGACACUGGGAUGAGAUAAUCCCGCUCGUUUCCAGCACUAAUCAACUCGUUUCCUGAAUUAUCCUGAUUCCAAGUGUCAUUUUCUUGAU